rnacentral:rRNA from 1 species
UACAGAGACUGCAAGCGUUAUUCAGAUUCACUGGGCGUAAAGGGUGCGCAGGCGGCCGUGUGUGUGAGGCGUGAAAGCCCGGGGCUUAACCCCGGAAUUGCACCUCAAACUACAUGGCUAGAGCAUUGGAGAGGGUAGCAGAAUUCACGGUGUAGCAGUGAAAUGCGUAGAUAUCGUGAGGAAUACCAGAGGCGAAGGCGGCUACCUGGACAAUUGCUGACGCUCAGGCACGAAAGCGGUGGGGAGCAAAAAGGG